UCUUCGGGGUCUGGGGUGGUCACAAAGAUCCCGGAUGAGCCCCCAAAUUUAAGAUCCCCGAAGGGAGACCCUUACUCAAGUCUUGGGAAGUUGCAGAACCCAGACACACGAGAGACCAG
rnacentral:pre_miRNA from 14 species